rnacentral:lncRNA from 1 species
UCUCACCAGUACUCCCCCCUGAGGAGAGUAUGGCUGAACACCCGUGUACCGCCAGUAUCCCCCCCCCAAGCAAGGUGAUCCGCAUCAAGGCCAAAGCGACAAGAUGGAUCGAGUCAAUGUGGCCACAGCGACACAAUGACUCUGUUACCCAUGCACUAUUAGAUGGGUUGAUUCACUAUCAGAAUCUAGUUCCAGGCCAAUAGAACUACGUGUUUAUAGUCCAACUCUGAUCAGGAGCGACUCUUUCUGUGUUAUCAUCAA